UCCCUGGUGGCUCAGAUGGUAAAGCAUCUGCCUGCAAUGUGGGCGACCCAGGUUCGAUCCCUGGAUUGGGAA
rnacentral:tRNA from 1 species